GGACUACAAGGGUUUCUAAUCCUGUUUGCUCCCCACGCUUUCGCGCCUCAGCGUCAGAAACGGUCCAGAUGGCCGCCUUCGCCACCGGUGUUCUUCCCAAUAUCUACGAAUUUCACCUCUACACUGGGAAUUCCACCAUCCUCUCCCGUCCUCAAGCCAGUCAGUCUCGAGUGCUAUUCCGGGGUUGAGCCCCGGGCUUUCACACCCGACUUGAUCGGCCGCCUACGCGCCCUUUACGCCCAGUAACUCCGAACAACGCUAGCCCCCUUCGUAUUACCGCGGCGGCUGGCAC
rnacentral:rRNA from 1 species